rnacentral:rRNA from 1 species
GAUGAACGCUGGCGGCGUGCCUAAUACAUGCAAGUCGAGCGAACAGAUGAGGAGCUUGCUCCUCUGACGUUAGCGGCGGACGGGUGAGUAACACGUGGAUAACCUACCUAUAAGACUGGGAUAACUUCGGGAAACCGGAGCUAAUACCGGAUAAUAUAUUGAACCGCAUGGUUCAAUAGUGAAAGACGGUUUUGCUGUCACUUAUAGAUGGAUCCGCGCCGCAUUAGCUAGUUGGUAAGGUAACGGCUUACCAAGGCAACGAUGCGUAGCCGACCUGAGAGGGUGAUCGGCCACACUGGAACUGAGACACGGUCCAGACUCCUACGGGAGGCAGCAGUAGGGAAUCUUCCGCAAUGGGCGAAAGCCUGACGGAGCAACGCCGCGUGAGUGAUGAAGGUCUUCGGAUCGUAAAACUCUGUUAUUAGGGAACAACAAAUGUGUAAGUAACUAUGCACGUCUUGACGGUACCUAAUCAGAAAGCCACGGCUAACUACGUG